UACGUAGGUGGCGAGCGUUGUCCGGAUUUACUGGGCGUAAAGCGUGCGUAGGCGGUGGUCCAAGUCUGGUGUGAAAUCUCCCGGCUCAACUGGGAGGGUGCGCCGGAAACUGGGCCGCUGGAGUACGGGAGAGGCAAGCGGAAUUCCAGGUGUAGCGGUGAAAUGCGUAGAUAUCUGGAGGAACACCGGUGGCGAAGGCGGCAUCCUGGACCGGCAUUGACGCUGAGGCGCGAAAGCCAGGGGAGCAAACGGG
rnacentral:rRNA from 1 species